GACGAACGCUGGCGGCGUGCCUAAUACAUGCAAGUAGAACGCUGAAGGAGGAGCUUGCUUCUCUGGAUGAGUUGCGAACGGGUGAGUAACGCGUAGGUAACCUGCCUGGUAGCGGGGGAUAACUAUUGGAAACGAUAGCUAAUACCGCAUAAGAGUAGAUGUUGCAUGACAUUUGCUUAAAAGGUGCAAUUGCAUCACUACCAGAUGGACCUGCGUUGUAUUAGCUAGUUGGUGGGGUAACGGCUUACCAAGGCGACGAUACAUAGCCGACCUGAGAGGGUGGUCGGCCACACUGGGACUGAGACACGGCCCAGACUCCUACGGGAGGCAGCAGUAGGGAAUCUUCGGCAAUGGACGGAAGUCUGACCGAGCAACGCCGCGUGAGUGAAGAAGGUUGUCGGAUCGGAAAGCUCUGUUGUAAGGGAAGAAAGAGUGUGAGAGUGGAAAGUUCACACUGUGACGGUAUCUUACCAGAAAGGGACGGCUAACUACGUG
rnacentral:rRNA from 1 species